GUCCUCUUCCCUUUCUUCUUAUCUCAUGCUCGCUUGCGGAUCGUCUCACUGCUGCUCCCGACUGCAUGCAAGGCUUCAGUAUUAGUAGUGAACUCACCACAAAACGGUAACAUCUCUAAAGUUUGCACCAUCAUCUCAUCUGAAGCAUGAUGUACCAUAAAACACAUGGAGCAUUUCUGUCAAAAUUUUCAUGUAAACACUUGGAAUGAGACUGUACCUGGGCUCAGAAAUCUCCUCAUGUGGAAGAAGAAAAAGCAAAAAAAAUCUACUGCUGGAGCACUGACUGUGGCAAACAGAAGACACUGUGUAAUAGCUUCAGCUGCUCAGUGGUGUGGUGAUGAUAUCUUCUGUCUUAUUAUGGCUGCUUGGAUGCUUCAAAGAAAGAUCACCUUAAAGGUUUCUAAAACUGUAUCUUUUAUAGCAGAUGUGUGAAGGGAUGUGCAAAUCAAAGGGCUUCUGUCAUUUCUGGCUGAAGUCCAAACAUCUUGGAACAACUCAGCAGAGAGUUUGAAUUGCUCACUCCAUCAUCUAUAGUGGAAUAAGUCUAAUAAUCAGAAUUCUUCUGAAGUGAUCAAAAAUUUAUGCCUAGGCAGGCUUACAGUGUUAGAGAUGCAUACUAUGUAUUAGGAGUUAAAACAUCACAUUUGAGUAUUUCUGCCAAAAUUUUUGUCUGUUUCUGCUAUAAUUUCAGGAGAACUUGGUGGCAGCUAUUAAGGUUAGUGAGUUACUGUAAAUAAGUUGUUUGAGUACAUUUGCAUUGGAAGAAUAUUCAGUGAAAUUAGGGUCAGUGUUAUAGACAGUAGAACACUUUGGCAAAUCUAACAAGGAAUUUAAAAGUUAAUAAAGCAGAAAUGUAUGUAUCUCACCCUUAUGUCCCUAUAAUAAAUAAAUCUCAUCAUUUAAGAGAAAAUCUUCCAUUUGAACUAAAAGAAAUUGUAUUCAUUUGUUAAAGAAUUAUUGAUGUUUCUUGUGGAAAAACUGAUAACAAACUGGCAAGAGUUGCUGUAUUCAGAUAAAUCUUAGCCAAAUGUUUCUUUGACCAGUAUAUCCUUUCUACGGUUUGUGAAUGGCUUGACAGUCAAAGGCACAGUUUUCUUCCACUUCUCUUCAAAAAUAUUAUCUCUUUAUGUUCUUCAAAUAUCAAAGCACGGCUUUGUUGAAGUGGAGGAAAAUACUGCUUGCCUUGAUUGCAGCUGGGGAGAUCCUGACCAGAAAGGAAGAACAGAUAUUUGGCACAUAGCCUUUGAAAAUAUGAAAGGUGGGAACUGAGAGGAGGGCAGGCAGGCAGGUGGGAAAGGGCUGAGGCAUUAACAUCGCACUGCACAAGUGGAAGGAUGCUUCAUACCAAGCAGAACUUAACAGGAGGCUGCUGUGGUCUUUGCCUCCACUGUCCGUAGUAAAUUUGCACCUAGUGUGUAUUUUCUGUUACAUCAGCAUGCAAAUGUAAUGAACAAUAUUAAUAAGCUUCAAAGGUCAUCCUCCUCUCUACUUAUGACAAGAACUGUUUCAUCAAUUGUCCAUUCGGUUAUAGCAGCCUCCACAGAUUAUUCAGGCAAGGAAAAUAAUUUUUUUUUUCAUUUGUGUUUUUGGAUUUAUCUGCCCACUCCUCUGUCCAAGUUUCAUAACACACUGGGGCAAGAAUUCAACAUCUGAAUUACAGGAAAAUUAAGCAUGCAGUCCUGUUUUUGUUUCUGCUAUGUGUGUGUGGUUUUUUUUUUUAAUGUAAUGCAUAAUCACAUCAUUAAAUAAGAUUUGAUAGUAUUAAUGUCAGGCAUCCCCUAUGAGACCUUUUGCUUUUCAAGUUGCCUUCGAUACCAAUAAAAAUACUCUAGCAAACACUUGCUAAAAUGUAAUUUUCAUGUGCUUACUUCUGCAUUUCAAACCCAAACAUGACAAGCAGUUUCCUUUCAGCAUUAGUAUCUGUUCUGGGUUUAUUUACAAUCUGUUGAGAACAACAACAACAAAAAAUUCAGUGUGAGUUUCUUUAUCUUAAAUAGUGGACAACAGAGCUAAUAUCUAAAACUAUCUAUUAGCAUGUCAGUUGAAGUGAUAUCAUACUCCCCCAGAAUAGUAGGUCUACUUUGAACAAGACUGUGAUUUAUGAUUCAGAAUCUCAAUAACUAUCUUUCUAAGCCAGUAAAGAUGACAUCUGGGUAGAACAGAUCUAGACCUAUUCAAACCACAUAGAUUUUACUAUUUAUAAAUUCAAAUUAUCUGUUUUCAACAUUGAAAGAGUGUUUCAGAAUGACUAAAAGGAACUGAUCAAUAGUGUACAACAGGCUAACUUAACCACAGGCUUCAUUGGCAACAUGCAAGAGAGAAUUUCUAAAUGUAGCAAUUUAGAAAACUGGUGGUUAGCCUUUGUUCAUCUUGUAUUUGGUGUGAACUAGGAAAUAAACUCAGCUAAAUAUAAAUGAUAGCUCUUAUAUGGCAGUUCCCUAUAAAUUUUUUUAAUAUUAAUCAUUAUAUUCCUGUAAAAAAUAAGAACUGUAAAGGCACUUGAAUUUAGAUUUUUAGUUGAAGCUUUAAGAGCUGUGGGUUUUGUCACAUACAGAAUUAAAAAAGGCAACAGAAGUCUCCUUGCACGCUGGAAGUCAGCUUGAUUAAAACUGAAGCUGCAGAAGCCAAAAGGGCAAAACUUUCACUGACUUCAACUGUGAAGAGAAAAAUACCCAGGAAGAACUUUUCGAUGCUAUUGCAAAUAUGGCACAAAUGUAGGAAUUGCAUGACCUGAGAUCUGGCUUAGAUUAUUUGAGAGUUUUCUUUUUCCUCUGUUUUUUUACUUGACUACACCCCAGAAUUCCUGUUCAUCUCAUUUUAAUGUGCUUGCCACAGCGUUCUCCCCACCCCCCCUCCAAAAAAAAAAAAAUACAAACUUUGGUGACGUGUACAGUGUGAUCAACUUCUGAAGUUUAAGUAGAAGUAGCAUUUCAUAAUAGGUGAACUGAAAAAACUUGCACUGAAUUUACUAAUACAAACUGUUGACUCAUUCUAUUAGCUUUGCAUGGGGCUUAGCUAUUGAAUCAAACUGCAUACGCCGCUGUGCUAAGAAGCUUGAAGUGUCUCGUUGACCAUUGCUUUUCAGGAGAGGGAAGCUGCCUCACUGAAAUCAACCACUGUCUUCAGUAAGGACAGAUUUUUCUUCUGGAAGAGUCAUAGUCAUUUCCAGAAGUGAUGAAUAAUGUAGUACUGUAAUACUUUUUUUUUUUUUUUUUUGUCAGUAAAUGGACACUUAGUGUACAUAAUUGUAUUUCCUUAGUAUUGUUUAUCUUAAGCUCAAGAUGUGUAAUUCAUUUAGUGUUUUAUAAAUUGUUCUUUUGAAAUUGUGCCAGAUAUUAGAACAAAAAUUGGAAUGACCAUAGUAUUAUUCUUUAAUAUGGAGCACACAUAUAAACAGAAAGAACUGACUUGAAAUAAUUCAGACUUAUUAUAAAUAAGCACUGAAAAGUGCAGAUGUGAAAAAUAUAACUAUAUGAUUAAUUAUCCAGAAAAAUAAAGUGAACGCAUGCUAUAAACAAAUUAAAUGCAAACUUGCUCAUAGAAAAAGCAUGUUUUCUCUGUCCAAAACUAGAUUUAAUUUCUACUGAUAAUUAGAAACUCUGCUAAUAAUAAUACUGAACACUAAAUAUUCCUAUAAAAUAUUUAAUUUAGGAUAAGAUUUGAAAUACAGGGAGCUGCAAAUACUUCUUAUUUCUUUUAGUAGCGUGUGCUUCAGCAGUUUUCAGAUAUGCUGUCUUCUAGAAUGCUAUAUCUUCUAGAUGGCACCAGCCUUGUGAUACUUCUGAUCUAUUUUGGUUUUGAAACCUUUCCAGGUUAUUUGGAGUAUUUACAUCUCUUGCACCAAAUGUAAAUGAACUUACUACAUGAUCAAAUUUCAUCAGAAUAAUAAAUUAUCCUAGUUUAUUCCUUAUGCUGUAAGCAUGCAUCCUUGAGACUUUCAAUGUGUAGUUUAUGGAAAA